rnacentral:rRNA from 1 species
CAGCCGCCACGGUAAUACGGAGGGUGCAAGCGUUAAUCGGAAUUACUGGGCGUAAAGCGCACGCAGGCGGUCUGACAAGUCAGAUGUGAAAUCCCCGGGCUUAACCUGGGAACUGCAUUUGAAACUGUCAGGCUGGAGUCUUGUAGAGGGGGGUGGAAUUCCAGGUGUAGCGGUGAAAUGCGUAGAGAUCUGGAGGAAUACCGGUGGCGAAGGCGGCCCCCUGGACAAAGACUGACGCUCAGGUGCGAAAGCGUGGGGAGCAAACAGGAUUAGAUACCCCUGUAGUCCCUGUCUCUUAUAC